AUCUUUCUGGUUCAGUACUAUGAUGAAUGGGUGAGCACACAGCUGUGUGAUAUGUGUGACCUACCUGUUACGACUGAUGCACAUUACCCUUCUGAGC